GGCGGUGUAGCUCAGCGGUUAGAGCGCACGGUUCAUACCCGUGAGGUCACUGGUUCGAAUCCAGUCACCGCUACCA
rnacentral:tRNA from 1 species